rnacentral:rRNA from 1 species
UACGUAGGGGGCAAGCGUUGUCCGGAAUCAUUGGGCGUAAAGCGCGUGUAGGCGGUUCGGUAAGUCUGCUGUGAAAGUCCAGGCUCAACCCUGGGAUGCCGGUGGGUACUGUCGGACUAGAGUACGGAAGAGGCGAGUGGAAUUCCCGGUGUAGCGGUGAAAUGCGCAGAUAUCGGGAGGAACACCAAUUGCGAAGGCAGCUCGCUGGGACGUUACUGACGCUGAGACGCGAAAGCGUGGGGAGCAACAGG